UACGGGGGGAGCAAGCGUUGUUCGGAUUUACUGGGCGUAAAGGGCGGGUAGGCGGCCACCGCAAGUCAGUUGUGAAAUCUCUGGGCUUAACCCAGAAAGGUCAACUGAUACUGCGGGGCUAGAGUGCAGAAGGGGCAACUGGAAUUCUCGGUUUAGCGGUGAAAUGCGUAGAUAUCGAGAGGAACACCUGCGGCGAAGGCGGGUUGCUGGGCUGACACUGACGCUGAACUGCGAAAGCUAGGGGAGCGAACGGG
rnacentral:rRNA from 1 species